AGGCUGUGGAAUAUCACAUGU
ensembl:piRNA 21ur-1584 ncRNA